UACGUAGGUGGCAAGCGUUGUCUGGAUUUACUGGGCGUAAAGGGAGCGUAGGUGGAUAUUUAAGUGGGAUGUGAAAUACUCGGGCUUAACCUGAGUGCUGCAUUCCAAACUGGAUAUCUAGAGUGCAGGAGAGGAAAGUAGAAUUCCUAGUGUAGCGGUGAAAUGCGUAGAGAUUAGGAAGAAUACCAGUGGCGAAGACGACUUUCUGGACUGUAACUGACACUGAGGCUCGAAAGCGUGGGGAGCAAACAGG
rnacentral:rRNA from 1 species